rnacentral:sRNA from 1 species
AUCGCUUCUCGGCCUUUUGGCUAAGAUCAAGUGAAGCAGUAGCAAAUACAUGAUCUAUAAGCAUGAAAAGUAUUUUGUGGAUUUAAUAAUUUAUAAAUUUAGUCAAUAAAAUUGCUGCUAAACUAUUUGUAAGACAAUGUUAAAAUGUG